UACGUAGGGUGCAAGCGUUGUCCGGAAUUAUUGGGCGUAAAGAGCUCGUAGGCGGUUUGUCGCGUCUGCUGUGAAAACCCGAGGCUCAACCUCGGGCCUGCAGUGGGUACGGGCAGACUAGAGUGCGGUAGGGGAGAUUGGAAUUCCUGGUGUAGCGGUGGAAUGCGCAGAUAUCGGGAGGAACACCAGUGGCGAAGGCGGCUUCCUGGACCAGAGCUGACACUGAGGCGCGAAAGCGUGGGGGAGCGAUCCGG
rnacentral:rRNA from 1 species